GAAGAAUAUAAUGAACAAAUAUAUUUAUAUUAUCAUGAUGAACACUUUGACACUAUAACAAAUAUAACAGGAUUUUUAGCUAAACGUAGGUUUUGUAAAGUAUGUUUAAUUGGUUAUACUGAACAACAUACAUGCAAAGAUAACACAGUAACAACUAUCAGAAAACAACAUAUUUGUGAUAAAUGUAACAAAACAUAUACAGGCAAAAAUCACAAAUGUGGUGAAAAAAUAUGUUUAAUAUGUUAUGAAAAAUACACGGAAAGUAAUGAAGAACACUUAUGUUAUAUGAAAC
rnacentral:lncRNA from 1 species